rnacentral:rRNA from 1 species
CUACGUGCCAGCAGCCGCGGUAAUACGGAAGGUCCAGGCGUUAUCCGGAUUUAUUGGGUUUAAAGGGAGCGUAGGCUGGAGAUUAAGUGUGUUGUGAAAUGUAGACGCUCAACGUCUGAAUUGCAGCGCAUACUGGUUUCCUUGAGUACGCACAACGUUGGCGGAAUUCGUCGUGUAGCGGUGAAAUGCUUAGAUAUGACGAAGAACUCCGAUUGCGAAGGCAGCUGACGGGAGCGCAACUGACGCUUAAGCUSGAAGGUGCGGGUAUCAAACAGGAUUAGAUACCCUGGUAGUCCGCACAGUAAACGAUGGAUGCCCGCUGUUGGUACCUGGUAUCAGCGGCUAAGCGAAAGCAUUAAGCAUCCCACCUGGGGAGUACGCCGGCAACGGUGAAACUCAAAGGAAUUGACGGGGGCCCGCACAAGCGGAGGAACAUGUGGUUUAAUUCGAUGAUACGCGAGGAACCUUACCCGGGCU